rnacentral:snoRNA from 1 species
AGCCCAUGAUGAGGAUAGGCGGCCACGUACUCCUGCAGACGCUCCCAUGCUUCAGGAAUGGACUCAUCUCUUGUCUGCCGGAAACUGGAAAUCCUUCCACGAAGGGC